GACAGAGGGUGCAAACGUUGUUCGGAAUUACUGGGCGUAAAGCGCAUGUAGGCGGCCAAGCAGGUCGGAUGUGAAAGCCCUCGGCUCAACCAAGGAAGUGCAUUCGAAACCGCAUGGCUCGAGUCCCGGAGAGGAUGGUGGAAUUCUCGGUGUAGAGGUGAAAUUCGUAGAUAUCAGGAGGAACACCGGUGGCGAAGGCGGGUCUCUGGGCCGAUACUGACGCUGAGGAGCGAAAGCGUGGGGAGCGAACAGG
rnacentral:rRNA from 1 species